UAUUAGAGACCCAUUACAACAGCACAUGCAUUACUGAUUCUAACGACGUUGCCAUGUUCCAUGACAAAGUGAACAACAAUUUUCAUGGUUAUUAACAAGCCACGCUCCUUCAACAUUUUUCAGCUCAAGCUUUGAUUUGAUGCAGUUGUCGACCCAGAACUCUUUCAUGGCAUCGUCACGCGCCACGCGAGUCUUAUCACUCACCCGAAGGCCCUUUUCUUCUUCUUCUUCUCUCAAAUUUGAUGCUGGGGUUUCCAUGGUUCAGGGAGCUUCCAGAGGAAUUGGCCUUGAAUUUGUAAAACAGCUGCUAGAGAAAAAUGAUAAAGGGCAUGUUGUUGCUACUUGCCGAAAUCCUGAUGCUUCAACAGGUCUUGCCCAGCUCAAACAUAAAUUUCCUGAUCGUCUAAAACUUUUGCCCUUGGAUUUGACUAUUGAAACUUCAAUUCAGGCAUCUGCAUCGUCAGUUAGAGAGACAUACGGCCAUCUAAACCUUCUCAUUAAUGCGUCUGGCAUUCUUUCCAUACCUCAAGUAUUACAACCAGAGACAUCACUCAACAAAUUGGAAAAAUCAGCCUUGAUGCUUACGUAUGAGAUUAAUGCCGUCGGUCCCAUCUUAGUUAUCAAGCACAUGUGGCCUCUUCUAAAAGUUGGAGGUGGCUUUGGCACUGAAAGAAGUACUGCAGUGGUGGCCAGUUUGAGUGCAAGGGUUGGAUCUAUUGGGGACAAUCAUCUUGGUGGUUGGCACUCGUAUCGAUCUUCAAAGACUGCACUCAAUCAAUUGUCAAAGACGGCUGCGGUUGAAUUUGCAAGAAAAAAGGAUCCAAUUGUCUGCAUUUCACUGCAUCCCGGCACAGUUGACACCGAUCUCUCGAAGCCAUUUCAGAAGAAUGUUCCAAAAGAGAAGCUCUUCAGCAAAGAGUUCUCAGUGCAAAAGCUGCUAAGCAUCAUUGACAAUGUCAAGAGUAAUGACAAUGGCAAGUUCUUUGCUUGGGAUGGCCAAGAAAUUCCUUGAAAUGGGAACUUAACCAUUUCACACAAAUCUUGGCAUUGAACAAAGAUAAGAAACAAAUCAAAUGGCUACUCUUGUUGUUCCCAAAGAUUCUUCUCCAAUUGAAGAUGCUGAAACUAUCAAGAGGGCAUGCAAAGGAUUAGGGACUGAUGAGAGAGCCCUGAUAUCCAUAUUAGCACAUCGAAAUGAAGCACAAAGAAAACUUCUUCGGCAGGCUUAUUUAGAUCUUUAUCACCAAGAUCUUAUUCAA